rnacentral:lncRNA from 1 species
AUGAGAAAUUGCCCACCAAAACACUUGUCCAGAGGCAGCGUCAGACGAGAAGGGACACUCCUUGUGCCGCGGGGCAGGGAUGCCACCUGGUCCUCAGCGCACCAGGAAAGCACUCGGUGCUGUGGGAGCGCAGGCUUCCGCUGGUGGCUGCGAUGGAGACACCUGGGGGGCGUCGCCAGGAUUUUAUUUAAUACUCAGUCGGCUGCUGGGAAACAGGUGGCUGCAUCUCCGCUGGGGCCUGAGCCUCUCUUGGCAGCUGGGUGCUGCUGCAGGGGCUUGGAGUUUGCUUCGUCCUCCUGCUGUGGCGCUCUGCCUGCCCCUGGGUGCCGGCCUCAGCAGCUGAGCCUGAGCCUCCAGGAGAGAGUACUGCGAUUGGAUUCAGAAGCACAACAGCAAAUUGCUGACAACCUUUACAUACGCGUGUGUGUGUGUCUUUGUGGUUUUAGUGUGGAUCCUCAGCUCCGCAGGGCACUGCCAGCCCCUCGGCACAGCAUCCUCCAACUCCUCCUCCUCCUGCUCCCCCUGGGCUGGGGCUGCUCGUUCUGCUCCGCGUUCGUGCUGGCACCUCCAGCUCCUGGGGACACAGCUGUCAGGUGCAAUUAUUUUGUCUGUCCAUCUGCCCAGAGAUCUCUUGGUGCACCAGGUUGGAACAGCAGCUCCUGCACAGGAACAAGUUGCACUUUCACGCACUGCUAUUUGAGACCUAGGAUUUAUCUGAAUGGAGAAGCCACUCAGAAUCCCAAUUUUCUUUGUAUUAAGCACCGCAAAUAA